rfam:Streptomyces autolyticus strain CGMCC0516, complete genome.
CUUGAUCGAGCCCAGCCACAGCGGACGUCCCUCCGGCCGGUCCUGUCCGUAGGUGGCCAGCAGCGCCUGCGCCUC